rnacentral:rRNA from 1 species
CCUACGGGAGGCACCAGUAGGGAAUCUUCCGCAAUGGACGAAAGUCUGACGGAGCAACGCCGCGUGAGUGAUGAAGGCUUUCGGGUCGUAAAACUCUGUUGUUAGGGAAGAACAAGUGCUAGUUGAAUAAGCUGGCACCUUGACGGUACCUAACCAGAAAGCCACGGCUAACUACGUGCCAGCAGCCGCGGUAAUACGUAGGUGGCAAGCGUUAUCCGGAAUUAUUGGGCGUAAAGCGCGCGCAGGUGGUUUCUUAAGUCUGAUGUGAAAGCCCACGGCUCAACCGUGGAGGGUCAUCGGAAACUGGGAGACUUGAGUGCAGAAGAGGAAAGUGGAAUUCCAUGUGUAGCGGUGAAAUGCGUAGAGAUAUGGAGGAACACCAGUGGCGAAGGCGACUUUCUGGUCUGUAGCUGACACUGAGGCGCGAAAGCGUGGGGAGCAAACGGGAUUAGAUACCCCUGUAGUC